GAUGAACGCUGGCGGCGUGCCUAAUACAUGCAAGUCGAGCGAACUGAUUAGAAGCUUGCUUCUAUGACGUUAGCGGCGGACGGGUGAGUAACACGUGGGCAACCUGCCUGUAAGACUGGGAUAACUUCGGGAAACCGAAGCUAAUACCGGAUAGGAUCUUCUCCUUCAUGGGAGAUGAUUGAAAGAUGGUUUCGGCUAUCACUUACAGAUGGGCCCGCGGUGCAUUAGCUAGUUGGUGAGGUAACGGCUCACCAAGGCAACGAUGCAUAGCCGACCUGAGAGGGUGAUCGGCCACACUGGGACUGAGACACGGCCCAGACUCCUACGGGAGGCAGCAGUAGGGAAUCUUCCGCAAUGGACGAAAGUCUGACGGAGCAACGCCGCGUGAGUGAUGAAGGCUUUCGGGUCGUAAAACUCUGUUGUUAGGGAAGAACAGGUACGAGAGUAACUGCUCGUACCUUGACGGUACCUAACCAGAAAGCCACGGCUAACUACGUGCCAGCAGCCGCAGUAAAAC
rnacentral:rRNA from 1 species